AUCAUACACAAGGAGGGCACUGGCCACCUGACUGCAGAGAGCCACUGCUGUGGAGUCACAAAGCGAAGCCUACCCUGUGGGAGAGCCAGGAACAUUUCUGACUUGUGGAAGGCCUGGGGCACCAUGGCAAAGGAGCAAGUGAGAUGGGCCAUCCUAAACGGCUGUCGCAUGCCAGGAUGAAGGGCCAUGCAUCCAUUCAUUUGGCUGGAUACUAAGGACAGGGCCAUGCUUCUGUUCAUCUACUGGGACACUAAGGAAUCUGCAAGGAAUCUAUUCAUCAGCUUGGAUACUAAGACAGAGCCAUGCAUCUAGUCAUCUUCUUGGAUACUAAGGAAAGGCUGCUUCUGUCUUUGUGCAAGACAGGGCUAUGCAUCUGUUCAAGUGGUGGGAUAAUAAGAUAAGUCUGCUUUGGUUUUCUUUAUGACAGAGCCAUGUUUCUGUUCAUCUACCAAGACAUUAAAGUAAUUCUGCUUCUGUCUUCCUACAGGAGAGAUCCGUAUAUCUUUUCACCUGUUGGGAUACUAAGAUAAGUCUGUUUGCCUUCCUACACAAUGGGGACAUGCAUCUAUUCAUCUGCUCAGACACUAAGAAUGGGGCCAUGCAUCUGUUCAUCUUCUCAUAUACUAAGUAAGGCUGCUUGUGUCUUCAUAUGGGACAGGGCCAUGCAUCUUUUUAUGUGCUGGAAUACUAAGGUAAGUCUACUGAUGUUUUCUUACAUGACAGAAUCAUGCAUCUGUUCAUCUGCCUGAAUACUAGGGUAAGGCUCCUGUUGUCUUCCUGUAGGAUAAAGCCAUGCAUGUCUUCAUGGGCCUAGGUACUACCUUAAUUGUUCUUCUGUCUUCCCACAGGACAGGGCCAUGCAUCUGUUCAUCUUCUUAUAUACUAAGGACAGAUCCACACACUUCAUCUGCUUGGACACCAUGAAAGUCUCCUUCUGUCUACCUACAGGACACAGCCAUGAAUCUAUUCAUCAGCUCAGAUACCAAGGACCUUGUGCUUUCAAGGUAGGCAAAGCACCACUGAGCUACCUUCCCACCUGCUGAUGUCUUCCUGCAAGACAGGGUCAUGCAUUUGGUCAUCUUCUCAGAUACUAAGGUAAGGCUGCUCCUGUCAUCAUACAAGACAGGGCCGUGCAUCUGUUCAUGUGCUGGGAUACUAAGGUAAGUCUACUGAUGUUUUCCUACAUGACAGAAUCAUGCAUCUGUUCAUCUGCCUGAAUACUAGGGUAAGGCUCCUGAUGUCUUCCUGUAGGAUAAAGCCAUGCAUGUCUUCAUGGGCCUAGGUACUACCUUAAUUGUUCUUCUGUCUUCCCACAGGACAGGGCCAUGGAUCUGUUCUUCUCCUUAUAUACUCAGGUAAGUCUGCUUCUGUCUUCCUAGAGGACAGAGCCAUGCAUUUGUUCAUCUACACAGACACUAAGGCAAGUCUUUGGAUGUCCUCCUGCAGGACAGAUCCAUGCAUCUGUUAAUGUGCACAGAUACUAAAGUAAGUCUGUUAAAAUCCUUGUGUUGGACCCAGCUUCUUUUGAACUUUCUUGGUGGCCAUGGAGUGAGUGUUUUGUCCCCUGAAGAGUUCAAACUUACUUGGCAUCCUAACGAGAUACAGGUCCUCUUUUCUGUGGAUGGAUCAUCAAGUUGCCCUCAUGCAGUGGAAACACAGCCUUCAAAAGACAAAUGAUUCUCCCAUCCCUUUGAGUUCCUAUGUCUCAGCCUCCGGAACCUAGCCUAGAAUUGUACAAGACACCACCAGAAACCUCAGAAAUCAACGAGCAAAACACUGAAACAGAUUGCUUCUCCUCGCUGACUACAAGGUGGCUGCUACCCAUCCUGGGACCCUUCAUUGUCAUCAUCUGUAUGCAGCGCCUUGAUCAAUUUUUUUCCAAGGCUGGAUUCAUCCAGCCACUAACUUCCUCACCUCCCAAAAGCUGAUGAACAGAUAUCCCUACCGGUGUGAGACCCCAACCCCACCUACCAACUCAGCUCCUCCCCCUGACAAUGGCCCCAGUCAGCAUGAAGCUGCUACUUGAGACAGCUCAUGACCUCAUCCCUUAUAACAAGGAGCCGUGAAUGUAAGGCCUAAACCCACCAGGCCUAAGCACAGCAUCCUUCAUCCUUCAGCAGCCUUCUUGGCCCUAGCAGCAGCUCGGAAGGAGGCCUCAGCACUUAGUCCCUCUUCCCAUGUCCUCAGUGAAAGCCUGCUCUCUUUCAUUCCGUGUCGUGGCACUGGUGUAUAGUCACUGGAGACAGUAAACUUCCACUUUAAA
ensembl:lncRNA